AGCGAACGCUGGCGGCAGGCCUAACACAUGCAAGUCGAACGAACUCUUCGGAGUUAGUGGCGGACGGGUGAGUAACACGUGGGAACGUGCCUUUAGGUUCGGAAUAACUCAGGGAAACUUGUGCUAAUACCGAAUGUGCCCUUCGGGGGAAAGAUUUAUCGCCUUUAGAGCGGCCCGCGUCUGAUUAGCUAGUUGGUGAGGUAAUGGCUCACCAAGGCUACGAUCAGUAGCUGGUCUGAGAGGAUGAUCAGCCACAUUGGGACUGAGACACGGCCCAAACUCCUACGGGAGGCAGCAGUGGGGAAUCUUGCGCAAUGGGCGAAAGCCUGACGCAGCCAUGCCGCGUGUAUGAUGAAGGUCUUAGGAUUGUAAAAUACUUUCACCGGGGAAGAUAAUGACGGUACCCGGAGAAGAAGCCCCGGCUAACUUCGUGCCAGCCGCCGCGGUAAUAC
rnacentral:rRNA from 1 species